AUUGAACGCUGGCGGCAGGCCUAACACAUGCAAGUCGAGCGAGCGGCGGACGGGUGAGUAAUGUCCGGGAAACUGCCCGAUGGAGGGGGAUAACUACUGGAAACGGUAGCUAAUACCGCAUACCAUCAGAUGUGCCCAGAUGGGAUUAGCUUGUGGGUGGGGUAACGGCUCACCUAGGCGACGAUCCCUAGCCGGUCUGAGAGGAUGACCAGCCACACUGGAACUGGGACACGGUCCAGACUCCUACGAGAGGCAGCAGUGGGGAAUAUUGCACAAUGGGCGCAAGCCUGAUGCAGCCAUGCCGCGUGUGUGAAGAAGGCCUUCGGGUUGUAAAGCACUUUCAGCGGGGAGGCGUUACCCGCAGAAGAAGCACCGGCUAACUCUGUGCCAGCAGCCGCGGUAAUAC
rnacentral:rRNA from 1 species